GUGAGGAAUUUUCCGCAAUGGGCGAAAGCCUGACGGAGCAAUGCCGCGUGAAGGAUGAAGGCCUAUGGGUUGUAAACUUCUUUUCUCAGAAAAGAAUUAUGACGGUAUCUGAGGAAUAAGCAUCGGCUAACUCUGUGCCAGCAGCCGCGGUAAGACAGAGGAUGCAAGCGUUAUCCGGAAUGAUUGGGCGUAAAGCGUCUGUAGGUUGUUUAAAAAGUAUUCUGUUAAAGAUUAGGGCUUAACCCUAGAUAGGCAGAAUAAACUUUUAAGCUAUAGUUUGGUAGAGGCAGAGGGAAUUCCCGGUGGAGCGGUGAAAUGCGUAGAUAUCGGGAGGAACACCAAAGGCGAAGGCACUCUGCUGGGCCAAUACUAACACUGAGAGACGAAAGCGAGGGGAGCAAAUGGGAUUAGAUACCCGGGUAGUCC
rnacentral:rRNA from 1 species